rnacentral:rRNA from 1 species
UUGACCUCGGAUCAGGUAGGGAUACCCGCUGAACUUAAGCAUAUCAAUAAGCGGAGGAAAAGAAACCAACAGGGAUUGCCCCAGUAACGGCGAGUGAAGCGGCAAGAGCUCAAAUUUGAAAGCUGGCUCCUUCGGGGUCCGCAUUGUAAUUUGCAGAGGAUGCUUCGGGAGCGGUCCCCAUCUAAGUGCCCUGGAACGGGACGUCAUAGAGGGUGAGAAUCCCGUAUGGGAUGGGGUGUCCGCGCCCGUGUGAAGCUCCUUCGACGAGUCGAGUUGUUUGGGAAUGCAGCUCUAAAUGGGUGGUAAAUUUCAUCUAAAGCUAAAUAUUGGCCGGAGACCGAUAGCGCACAAGUAGAGUGAUCGAAAGAUGAAAA